AUCUUAGUUCCCUGACCAAAGAUUGACAUCAUGUCCUCUGCAGUGGAAACGUGCAGUCUUAACCACUGGACCCAUAGGGAAGUCCCUGGACUGGAAAGUCUUUAGGGAAGAAAACUCCUGCCUCUUUCAGAUAUCGAGGUCUAUGUGCCGCAAAUCUCACUGCCAGAAGGGCUGGGAUGUUGCAUUUCUAUCUAGAAGCUCUAGGCCGUCUUCCUCUUGAACCAGUUUCCUGAGAUCUGAGAAAGCCAGACAGGAAGGUGUUAGAAAGUAGCUGUUAAAAGCAUGGGCUCCAGGGACUUCGCUGGUGGUCCAAUGGCUAGGACUCCUCGCUUCCAGUGCAGGGCGCCUGGGUUUGAUCCCUGGUCAGAGAACUGUACCCUACAUACUGCAACUAAGAGUUUGCAUGCUGCAACUGAAAGAUCCCACACGCUGCACUGAAGAAGAAGGAUUCUGUGUGCUGAACUGGAACCAGUGUCGCCAAAUGAACUUUUUUUUUUUUUCUUUAAAAAAGCAUGGGUUCCAGAAUCAAGCAGUUUCUCAGUUAGAAACUAGAUCUCGAUGCUCAGUAACUGGUUGAUCUAAGCAAAUCCUUUAGCCUCUGACCUUCAGUUUUUCCAUCUUUAAAAUGAAUGUCUGCUUCAUAAGGCUGCUCUUCGAUAAGAUGAAAUAUGUAAACCACUUAGCACUGGUUUGUGCCUGGCAUGUAGCAAGAAAUCAACAAGCAGCAGCUAGGCUUUCUAGUCUAUUUAUAACAAUUGUUGGGGAAAACGAAUCCUAGCUUCUCUCCGGUCCUUGAGAAGGUGGGAGCCUUGGGAAGAGGAAAGGAGAUGUAGGUUCCAGUCCUGGUGCUACCACCAUGAACGGUAUGGCCUAGGUCACCCCAUUUCUCUCUCAGCUUCUAUUUCUUGAUUCAUAAAGUGUUGGGAGUUGAUUGGAGCAACUCUCAGGCUCUGCCUGAGAGAUUAUUUCUGUGACUUCCGAGUUUUUCCAUGACAAGAGUUCUAAAGUCUUCUUCUGUCCAUCUGACUUUCAGAAUUGGCUCGCAGGAUGGUGUCCAGGCGUUGGUUCCUGGGGCGCUUCACCGUUUUCAGACAUGGACACUGCAUCUCCAGAUCAGUGCUGCUGCUGCCCUUUCUCCUUCACUCAGGGCUCCACUUAGGUUUCUUGGAGGAGACGCCAUCCUCACCCGCCACCCCCACCCCAGGCCACUGUGUCCUUCCACUUUCUCGUCUCCUGCCAAAAUUCCUGGCUCACUAAGCCAGAGAUGGACACUUGGACGCACACAAACAGAAGGAAAGUCUUGAGCAGAAAGCCUGUAUCAGAAGGGCCUUUGAGUGCCAGCCAAGCAUGGUGCCUGUGUAGGGAGGAGUGCCCUCAGAUCAGCACCUUUCCUGUGAUCAGUCCAGGGAGACUGAGCUCCUGCUGGAGGGGAGGUGGGGUUUCCCAGGUCAUUCGUGUGAUGGAAGAGAGGCAGCUUGGCAGACAGGAAGAGCUGGCGUUCCUCCAGACACCAGGCACCGCCGCACAGAGAAGGCGCCAAGGUCAAAAGCAGAUGCCCGAGUGAGCUGUGGUGAAGAGCUCCAGCAGGGGAUGGGAGAGAUGGGGCAGGCCCAGUGCCUCCUCCUGCCGGAGUGCUUCCAAGUCCUCACAGCAGGGGUUGAGAAUAGCUUUGAUCUGAAUCUUGGGCAGCCAGUGUGCCGGACAGCCAUGGGGAAGCCUCUUUUGGAAAGAAAUGAGCAAAAUGAAAACGACACACGUGAAAUGACCACUAGCUGCUGUAAAAAAGGAAUGUUAUGACCAAGACAUCUGCUAAUAACAGUGGUGCUGUCAGCAUCAUCAUCAUCUUUAUUUCAGUGGCUCUAACAUUUACUCUGUGUGUGCUAAGUCGCUCAGUCACGUUCUACUCUGCGAUCCCGUGGACUAUAGCCUGCCAGGCUUCUCUGUCUAUGGAGUUCUCCAGGCAAGAAUACUGGAGUAUUGUGGGUUGCCAUUCACUUCUCCAAGGGAUCUUCCCAACCCAGGGAUCAAACUGGGGUCUCCUGCAUUGCAGGCGGAUUCUUUUACCAUCUCAGCCACCAGGGAAGCCCAGUGUUUACUAAGCAUCUACUAUAAUGCUUCAUGGCACUUAAUCUUCACAGCAACUUCAAGAUAUCAGUAUCCUUACUAACCCCAUUUUACAAAGGAGGACAUAUCUCCUCAGAAACCUCAAUGAAGGUCCAGGAUGCCCUAAAACCAGGCAGUGUGCACUUAAAAAGUGGAAAGUGUUGGAGGCUGACUUCUGUCUUACCCUCUAAAUUCAUAUGUUGAGUCCUGCUGCCGCUGCUGCUAAGUCGCUUCAGUCGUGUCCAACUCUGUGCAACCCCAUAGAUGGCAGCCCACCAGGCUCCCUUGUCCCUGGGAUUCUCCAGGCAAGAAUACUGGAGUGGGUUGCCAUUUCCUUCUCCAAUGCAUGAAAGUGAAAAGUGAAAGUGAAGUCACUCAGUCGUGCCCAACUCUUAGUGACCCCAUGGACUGCAGCCUACCAGGCUCCUCCGUCCAUGGGAUUUUCCAGGCAAGAGUACUGGAGUGGGGUGCCAUCGCCUUCUCCAUGUUGAAGUCCUAGCCCCUAGUAGUUCAGAAUGUAACUGUAUUUGGAGACGGGGUCUUUAAAGAAGUAAUUAAGUUCAAAUGGGAUCAUUAAGAUGAACUCAUUCAAUAUGACUGAUGCCUGAUGAGAAGGGGAGAUGAGGACACAGGCAGGCACAAAAGGGAAAAUCAUCUGAAGAUACAGGAGAGCAGAUGGCCAUCUAUAAGUCCAAGAGAGAAGCCUCAGAAAAAAACCAAACCUGUCAACACGUUGUUCUUGGACUUCCAGCCUCCAGAAUUGUGAGAAAAUAAAUUUCCAUUGUUUAAGCCUCCCA
rnacentral:lncRNA from 1 species